CCAAUUGCAUCAUUACAGAUCUCUCUAUGUCUUUUCUCUCUCUCUCUCUCUCUCGUCUGCGAUUCAGGAGCCGAUGCCUUGGUGACUCGUGCCAGAACCGGAGCCUGAGCCCGACCUCUCCUCUUAUCCUCCAGUGGCCGUGGCGAGGCCCCGGCGACAGCAAGCAGAGCCUGUUCGCGGCGAAAUCGAAAACCCUCUCCUUCUUCUUAGUGAUUUCAUCUUCGAUUUCCGAGUAAUGGAUUACGACUACCGGAAAACCUCAUCCUAUGGCGCAAAGAUCCCGCCCUACCACCUGUCCUCGUCGUCACAGCCGAUGUACGGACCUCUGCAGCCGUUGUCGUCGUUGUACUCCAAGUCAACACGAUCAAAUGUUGGUCGCUCCUCCGUCUCACGGCGGUGGACGUCACCGUCCCUUUCCUCGGGAUUGGGCAUUCGAGUUUCUAUUGAGGUAGAGUAUCGGAUCACUCAUCCCGUAAGCUUUGGAGUUUCAAUUAUAGCAAUUAGUGAUGGAAAGGUUUCAUUGUAUUUUGGACAAUUGAACUUAGAGUAGAUUAGGUUAUGUGGUUGAGGUAUUUCAAGCUGGUCUCGAAGAUCACAUUAUAUAUUUGCAUUAUUUUGUUGAGUUGGGGUAACUCUAAAUGUCUGAUAUGAUUGGGUUUUGGUUUGGUUGGCGUUGGAUGAGGAAACCAUAUGUCCCAGAUCUGAGCUUACAACCCCAGUCACAGAUGUUGCUUUUGGAGAAGAAUGGAGCACUCCUAUUUUUAAUGUUCCACUAUCACCAAAAAAGGCUCUCCGUGCUGCAAUGCUGAAGAGUACUUUGCGGAUACUAUUCUGAAAGCUCAACAGAAAAGUCUACUUGGUCAAGGUAAUAGAAGUGAUCUACUGAAGAUGCAACAAGAAAAGGCGAGAUUAGAGCGGAAGCAGCGUGAAGAAUUCUUUCCCUUUGCGUUUGCAGUAGUAGAUUCCGAAAUUCAUGUGAAUUUGAGUACUGAAGCCUCCAUUGACCAAGAGAUCAUCCAGCCAACCAAGAAAUGUUGAAAUGAAGUCUGAUGCUGAAGGUGACAAAAUAAUGUCUAUGGUUAGCUAAUGUGGUAGAGCUUGACAACAAGAAACAUCAACGAUGGUCAUUUGAAAAAUGACAAUAUUACAACAUUGACAGCAGUUUUAUACAACUAUUGUAAUAGACUUCCACAACUAUGGUAGUGGUUUUUUACAACUAUGGAAGUAGCUUUUACAUGGUUAUAUCAUUGUUGAAUUCUGCAUACUUUUUGUAGCAUUGAAUAUGUUUUCAUUUUUCAAUUGCAGUAGCAUUUUAUUUUGGUUGUA